GCCGGCGUCGUCCGGCUUCUCGUUUCCAAGCACCAAAUCAAGAAGCGAGAACAUGGGAAGAUGCAGAAGAAGCUCGCGAACUCACCUAGGUGGUUUACUCGGGCCGAGAGAGAGCGAGGAGGUCGGGUCGCGGCGGCGGAACGCGUGCUGCUCCAGCGAGAUCCAAAUCGCGAAGUCUAGGGCUCGGUUUGGCAGCUGCAAAGCAAAGGGGAGGCCGCGGGGUUGGGAAGGAACUUUAUAGCGCACAAAACGACAAGAAAAUCGCGAAAGUUUCGGGAUCGGAGAGAUUGAGCUCGGCUCGGUUUGUCCCCAACCGAGUCCUACCCGACUACGGCAGGGAAGGAGAAGGGCGCUGCGCAGUGGGUCCCGCGCGUCAGCCAAAGGGGCGCUGGGUCCCGGUCACCAGCGGCAGAAAGGAGAGAGAGAGGGAGGGUGCGCGCGUGGGCCGCGGGAAAGGGGAAAUGGAGAAGAAGGAGCAAGCCGGGGGGUGAGGGGAGCUGGGCCUCGGCGUGGAUCCCAGGGGCUUUAUUUUUUUUUCUUUUUAUUCUUUCCUUUUCCAUUUUAUUUUCUUUUCUGUUUUCUUUUCCUAAAACCUUUUCCAAAUAAAAUUGUGAAUGCAAAUAAAUUCAAGCCAGAGGCAAACAAUACAAAAUAAAAUAUUCUUCAGCAUGAAUGCAUAAACAAGUUUCUAAUCUUAUGAUAAAUUUUAAUUUUGAUCAAAAAAUAUUUAAGUGCUAAAUUUAAAGGCGCACAAAAAUACUUAAUUAAAUCAAGUUACUCCCUAUUUAUUUAAAACAGAUUUUUGGGUGUUACAAACUCUACCCCCUUAAAAGAAUCUCGUCCUCGAGAUUGAGCAGUGCAUAAACAAACCACUGUGAUACGAUUCUCUCCAAUCAUCCUCUCUUUCCCAAGUUGCUUCUACCUCUAACAACCGAUUCCAUUGCACUAGCAAAUUCAUGUCUCUAGUCAGGUAACAUACCUGGUAACUUAUCUGAAAAUUUAUUCUCUACACAGUCCUAAAGAUCAACACCAUCGUCCAGCUGAUUCACUCUAGCCGUGGGUGGAGCCUGCACUGCUACAUCCACACUGAUUCUCUCUCCCUUGGGUGUUGUCACAACUACUACUUUCUCUUUACUUAAUUUCCGUAGCAUAUUUCUUCAUCCAAUCCAAACCCAAAAUCACAUCUAUGCCUGAGGUUCUCAUGACCAUGGGAUUAACCGGGAAAUCUACCCCCUUAAAGAAAGACUUGCUGAGGGGCAACAAUAUGAAACUGGUAUAGUCCCUCCCGGUGAGUUUACUAGCAUAUGGGUUUUCAUGGCAACUAGUGGUAUGCUAUGAACUCUAACAAAUGCUUGUGAUAUGAAUGUAUGUGAAGCUCCAGAAUCAAAUAAAACUGUAGCGGGAAUAGAGAUGAUACUGAACGUACCCAUCAUGAUUUCUGGUCCCUCUUGUACUGUCUCUGCAGCCACAUGGUUCACCUUUGCUCCAUGAGAAUUAGACUUUUGAUUGUUGUUCUGCUGGUUGAAUCUCCCCGGGCAAUCAUAUGACAUAUGACCUUCUUUCCCACAGCGAAAACACCUAGUAGGGGUAUUGGAAGCACUUCUCUUCAUAGAGGUGGCAUUUGAAUUUCCCGAGCGAGAAGUCUGUUGUCCACUCUGUUGUUGAUUAGGAUUACACUGAGAUUGUUGGUUGCGAUCCCCUUGACUAACUGGUCCAUGGUACCUCUGUUGAUCGCCCUGCUGAGAAUUGAAACGUUGGCGGUUGUUGCCUCCAGAACCUUGGGCUAACAUUCUUCUCUUCUUAUCUUGACCUUUACGCAUGUUAUCCAACACAAUAGCACGGUUUACCAGGGCCUGGAAGGUAGGAUAUGUGUUUCCAGCCAACUGCAACCUAAGUUCAUAGUAAAGACCUUUCAUGAAGAGGCGUUGUUUGUCAGCAUCUUCUCUAACUUCGUUUGGAGCAUAGCGAGCCAACUGCUCAAACAUGUCAUGAUACUCAGCCACAGACAUAGAACCCAUCCUGAGAGAUCUGAAUUCUUCCUGCUUGAGCUCCAUCAUUCCCUCAUUGAUGUGUCAUGCUCGGAAAUCUCUGCAAAAUUCCAUCCAAGUGACAGGAGGAGCAUUGUUGGGACGAGCAACUUGAUACGACUCCCACCAUGUCUGAGCUGCACCUUGAAGUUGUCCAGAAGCAUACAACACUUUCUCCAUAUCAUUGCACUGGGCUAUGUUCAGUUGUCUCUCUACAACACGAAGCCAAUCAUCUGCCUCCAUAGGAUCAGCUGAGUGUGUAAACACCAGGGGUCUUCCCUUUAUAAACUCGCCACGCUUAUCUCUCACAUGGACAGGUGGUGGUGUUGGUGGAGGUUGCUGCUGUAGGUGCUGCAUGAAGACGUGCAUCAUCUCAUUUUGGGUUUGCAUGAGUUCCUCCACAGUGAUUGGGGCAUUGACACCAUUGCCAUUGCCAUUGCCACGGCCUCUGCCUCUGCCUCUUCCCCUUGCUGCCAUCUGCAUUCCAAGGUAUAUAAACACAUCUUAGUAAUGUCCAACAUGACAAUUACAAGAGUUAACGGAAUCUGAAAUUUUCUGGGUAACAUCCAACAUCAGCAGAUCAGAAUAUCAGUCAUAUCUCAAGUUCCAGAAUUCAAAAGGAUGCAUGCUGUACACCGUUGGAAAGAUAAAGAAAUUGUCUAAAACUUUCAUUUAGAUCAUAUUACCAGAUUCCAAUGUGAGGUUAAUCAAAAACUGGGUACAACCGAAACUGUUCCAGAAUUCCAGACUGCGCAGAAACCUCAACUUUGAACAGUCAUAUCUCCCAGCUCAUAACCGAUAAUAUUGUCAUUCUUGAGGCAUUAGAAAGAUAUGAGAGUCUACUUGUUCCCAGAAACAUUUGAUGAACAUUGCAUGAACAGAUUAUGAGAUACACCAGAAUUAUUGCAGACUGCUCCAGAAAACAGCAAGAGAUAGAAACAGGAUUUUAACCAAACUCAACUAUUUAGUUCAUUAAUCCUUAUGCCUUAGGCCUAUAGACUAAAUGAAAUUGUAGAGAAAAUCCACAAGAUUAUCACACUCAUUACAAAGAUCCAAAUCAAGCAUAAGCAUAAUAACAAACCAAACCAACCAUCCAAAGUUCACACUUCAAGCAUUGACUCAACUUGCGGUACUAACGUUCUCUUCCUUUUAAGGGCAAUGAUCCUAAAACUCCUAUUCCAAUGAUGUUAGAAGGUGGUAAGAAAAGGUUCUAAAAGCAUAUCAAGCAAGGAGUGAGGUUGAGAACAAGUUUUUAAAAUAAGCAUCAAAGUGAAGAUGAAUAGCAAUGAAAAGGAUAUAGUAUAGGAGAAAAUAUCAAGGUUUAUAGAACAAGGAUUUUAUAGCAAUUUCAAAACCUUAUGACGGCCAAUUUCUAACUAGGCUUGCGUCCGACAGUCAACAAAGCUCUGAUACCAAUUUGUCACACCCAUAUUUUAAGAAUAAAAUAGGAUGCAAAAAAGACUCAUAUGUGCCCUAGGAACAGUCGCACACAUAAGUAGACAAAUCUCAAAUGUACCAUUGCAGUGUUUAUUACAUAGCGGAAUAUAAUAUAUCACAUAGUCUCAUACAAAAAUGAUAGCAAAAAGUAAACAACGCUCUCGACGGAAGCUCCACACAGGGACACCGUUGACAGGUUGACUCCAAACCUAGUACUCAUAACGGUAAUCCUCAUUCCAGUCAUCUUCAUUAUCAUAUCCUGAGGUGUGGGGAAAUUGCAAGAGUGAGCACAUAUCGUACUCAACAAGUGUAACCAGGGGUUCAUGAGGCUCAAAUGGUUGACACGGGUUUGACUGCAUUUAGCUUUUAAUAGUGGAUAACAUAUUCAUAAUUAAAUAGCAAUUGUCAAGGUAGCAUAAAUAAUCCAUUAAUCUCAUGAUCAAGUGUAAGCAUAAUUAAUUCAUAGCAUAAACGAUAAUAAAAUGAACAUAAUAACAUAACAAGCUCAUCAUCUUAAUGUAGAUGUCCCCAAGGCCGCUCCUGACCGUGAGCUCGGCUAGUAUACCAGUUUUACACUCUGCAGAGGUUGUACAUCUUUACCCAUGAGUCAUGAUUUACCCUUUCACCCGAGGUAGCUAAUAUCUUAACCCCCUUCCUAGGGAGGUCGGCAGGGAUCACUAUGAAGCCUUUCAAAAGUUCGUCUAACAAGUUAGGGCCGCAAGGUUUCCUUUGCGCGCAGAUAUAGAGCCCCCCUUCCGAUGGCACAAUGACUCGCAGCCUAUACACAUACAGACAUAGGCCACACUAUACCCAAAACGGUUCAGCCCCUCCGCCCUUUCGGAUAACCGCUAACAAGCUAGAAAAGGGCUUCAUACUGAGCUAAAGCCAGAGCCAUUAUAGCCCUCAUGGUUGCACUGUUAUCCCGGGUGAUCACGUACAGACAAGAUCUCAUACAGUUAUUUGUCAUUCUUUUAUGUUCAUUGCAUAGCUAUUAAUCAUCUUACAAGAUCAUGGAUUAUAUCAAGCACUAGCACAUCUAUACCAAAUGUAUAUCAAGUAGGUAACAAGGAAUACAGGUAACAAUCAUCUAUGAUUUUGCUAAGGUCGACAAGGUGAUAGCAUGCAUAUGAUAUAUAUGUGUAGUUAUAAGUGAAUAGGUAACAAGGAUGAUCCGAAGUUAUACUUGCCUUGCUCAAAGCUCUCCUGAGCCCGCUGGUCUUCAAAAGCUUGGUCUUGAUCACCAACGUACGGCUCACCAUCUAUUCCGAAACAUCAAUCAACAACACGCAAUCCAAUGUAGACAAUCAUACACAAAGCAAACAAGCUAUAAUUAGAACAUUACACCAAACAGUGGUAAAAUAAAGAUAAAAUUUUAUGAAAAUAUUCUACGCCGCGCUACGAUCACACAAAUGUAAAGUUCAUGAAAUUCGGAAUUAAAACGAGAAAGAUAUGAAUUUUCUAAGAUUUCCUAUAGAGAAAUAAUUAAUUAAAUGCUACUACGAAAAUUAAAAGUUUCAAAACAGUAAACUAAUACUUCGAACAUGUAGAGCAUAUAAUUACGAACCUAACGCAAUUUGAAUGGACAAAAAAGGAGUUAAAAUGAGUAUUUUAUGACCAAUUCAAUUCCAAUGGCAAAACUGUAAAUAUGUGAUUGCGCCUUUUCACUGGAACCGACGAAAAUACGUUUUCAAAUCGGGAAAGCGUAAACCGCCAAAGCGCCUUGGACUGCGGGUUAGAUUUCCAAAUUUUCCAGGGACUCUUAACAUAAAAUCGCAGGUGAAAGGGUAUGUUUAAAUCGUGGCCGUCGAUCUUCGGUUGGAUGGCCACGAUCUGCUCCUAGGGGUCCUUGGCGGUGGCCGGCUGGCCUCUCCCUAUCCGAUGCGGUGGCCGCCAUGGCCGGAGGCCGAAGCUUGCCGGCGUCGUCCGGCUUCUCGUUUCCGAGCACCAAAUCAAGAAGCGAGAACAUGGGAAGAUGCAGAAGAAGCUCGCGAACUCACCUAGGUGGUUUACUCGGGCCGAGAGAGAGCGAGGAGGUCGGGUCGCGGCGGCGGAACGCGUGCUGCUCCAGCGAGAUCCAAAUCGCGAAGUCUAGGGCUCGGUUUGGCAGCCGCAAAGCAAAGGGGAGGCCGCGGGGUUGGGAAGGAACUUUAUAGCGCACAAAACGGCAAGAAAAUCGUGAAAGUUUCGGGAUUGGAGAGAUUGAGCUCGGCUCGGUUUGUCCCCAACCGAGUCCUACCCGACUACGGCAGGGAAGGAGAAGGGCGUUGCGCAGUGGGUCCCGUGCGUCAGCCAAAGGGGCGCUGGGUCCCGGUCACCAGCGGCAGAAAGGAGAGAGAGGGAGGGUGCGUGCGUGGGCCGCGGGAAAGGGGAAAUGGAGAAGAAGGAGCAGGCCGGGGGGUGAGGGGAGCUGGGCCUCGGCGUGGAUCCCAAAGGCUUUAUUUUUUUUCUUUUUAUUCUUUCCUUUUCCAUUUUAUUUUCUUUUUUGUUUUAUUUUCCUAAAACCUUUUCCAAAUAAAAUUGUGAAUGCAAAUAAAUUCAAGCCAGAGGCAAACAAUACAAAAUAAAAUAUUCUUCAGCAUGAAUGCAUAAACAAGUUUCUAAUCUUAUGAUAAAUUUUAAUUUUGAUCAAAAAAAUAUUUAAGUGCUAAAUUUAAAUGCGCACAAAAAUACUUAAUUAAAUCAAGUUACUCCCUAUUUAUUUAAAACAGAUUUUUGGGUGUUACACCCAGGUGAAAGCUACAUCAGUAUCCAUGUGCUUGCGAAUUUUUCUGUGUGCGUUUAAAAUACCCAACAAGCUUUCUGGCACCGUUGCUGGGGAACGGUAGCUGUUCUAGAAUGAAACCAAGUUUUUCCAAGUUUUCUUUUUCAUUUACCACCUUUUUAUUACUUCUUUCCACCAAUAACCUA
rnacentral:lncRNA from 1 species